GAUGAAGAACGCAGCGAAAUGCGAUAGGUAGUGUGAAUUGCAGAUGUAACGUGAAUCAUCGAAUCUUUGAACGCAAAUUGCACUCUCUGGUAUUCCGGGGAGUAUGCCUGUUUGAGGGUCGCCAAAUCAACAUCGAAAUUCAUUUGCUUUUGUAAAUGUUUAUCGGAUUUGAGCCGUCUUAUUUUUUUAAUUAAAGUGGCUUAAAAUGUAUUUUUUGGUAUCGAAAAACGUUAUUUUACGAUCAAAUUGAUUAAAAAAACAAACGUUUCGAAUGCCGUCUUUUAAUGUAAUACGCUUGACUGUGGUGUUAAUCAUAGUUUUCAUUCGUAUACGAUUUUUUAAUUUUUGACCUCAAAUCAGGUAAGAACACCCGCUGAACUUAAGCAUAUCAAAAAGCGGAGGAA
rnacentral:misc_RNA from 1 species